GAGUUUGAUCCUGGCUCAGAUUGAACGCUGGCGGCAUGCCUUACACAUGCAAGUCGAACGGCAGCACGGGAGCAAUCCUGGUGGCGAGUGGCGAACGGGUGAGUAAUAUAUCGGAACGUGCCCAAUCGUGGGGGAUAACGCAGCGAAAGCUGUGCUAAUACCGCAUACGAUCUACGGAUGAAAGCGGGGGACUCGCAAGAGCCUCGCGCGAAUGGAGCGGCCGAUAUCAGAUUAGCUAGNNGGCGGGGUAAAGGCCCACCAAGGCGACGAUCUGUAGCUGGUCUGAGAGGACGACCAGCCACACUGGAACUGAGACAC
rnacentral:rRNA from 1 species